rnacentral:rRNA from 1 species
ACCUGCCAUGCAGAACGACCCGUGAACUCGUUACUAUGCUCGAGGGAGUUCACCGCUGGAAGCGCUUGCUCCCCGCGAUGGACCCCUCCUGCCAGGGGGGGCGAGCAGUGAUUCGCUCCUCGUGGCCGAACAACGAACCCCGGCGUGAACUGCGCCAAGGAAAAUUCAACGAGAGAGAGCGCUCCCGCAGCCCCGGACACGGUGAGCUUGCGGGAUGCGUCCCCUUCUUUCAACGAAAAUCCAAAACGACUCUCGGCAACGGAUAUCUCGGCUCUCGCAUCGAUGAAGAACGUAGCGAAAUGCGAUACUUGGUGUGAAUUGCAGAAUCCCGUGAACCAUCGAGUCUUUGAACGCAAGUUGCGCCCCAAGCCGUUAGGCCGAGGGCACGUCUGCCUGGGUGUCACGCAUCGUUGCCCCCCAACCCCCUCUAAGGGAUCCGUUGGAUGGGCGGAAAAUGGCCUCCCGUGUGCUCCUCGUUCGCGGUUGGCCCAAAUUUGAGUCUUUCGGCGAGCGUGCCGCGACGAUCGGUGGUGAAACAUGCCUCUCGAGCUCUCGUCGCGUGCCUGCGUCUCCGUGUUACGGGCUCUAGGACCCUAGCGACGCCUUGUAUUUCGGGUGCUGCUCGCUCUGCGACC